rnacentral:rRNA from 1 species
UUAAGCGACUAAGCGUACACGGUGGAUGCCCUGGCAGUCAGAGGCGAUGAAGGACGUGCUAAUCUGCGAUAAGCGUCGGUAAGGUGAUAUGAACCGUUAUAACCGGCGAUUUCCGAAUGGGGAAACCCAGUGUGAUUCGUCACACUAUCAUUAACUGAAUCCAUAGGUUAAUGAGGCGAACCGGGGGAACUGAAACAUCUAAGUACCCCGAGGAAAAGAAAUCAACCGAGAUUCCCCCAGUAGCGGCGAGCGAACGGGGAGGAGCCCAGAGCCUGAAUCAGUGUGUGUGUUAGUGGAAGCGUCUGGAAAGGCGCGCGAUACAGGGUGACAGCCCCGUACACAAAAAUGCACAUACUGUGAGCUCGAUGAGUAGGGCGGGACACGUGGUAUCCUGUCUGAAUAUGGGGGGGACCAUCCUCCAAGGCUAAAUACUCCUGACUGACCGAUAGUGAACCAGUACCGUGAGGGAAAGGCGAAAAGAACCCCGGCGAGGGGAGUGAAAAAGAACCUGAAACCGUGUACGUACAAGCAGUGGGAGCACGCUUCGGCGUGUGACUGCGUACCUUUUGUAUAAUGGGUCAGCGACUUAUAUUCUGUAGCAAGGUUAACCGAAUAGGGGAGCCGAAGGGAAACCGAGUCUUAACUGGGCGUUAAGUUGCAGGGUAUAGACCCGAAACCCGGUGAUCUAGCCAUGGGCAGGUUGAAGGUUGGGUAACACUAACUGGAGGACCGAACCGACUAAUGUUGAAAAAUUAGCGGAUGACUUGUGGCUGGGGGUGAAAGGCCAAUCAAACCGGGAGAUAGCUGGUUCUCCCCGAAAGCUAUUUAGGUAGCGCCUCGUGAAUUCAUCUCCGGGGGUAGAGCACUGUUUCGGCAAGGGGGUCAUCCCGACUUACCAACCCGAUGCAAACUGCGAAUACCGGAGAAUGUUAUCACGGGAGACACACGGCGGGUGCUAACGUCCGUCGUGAAGAGGGAAACAACCCAGACCGCCAGCUAAGGUCCCAAAGUCAUGGUUAAGUGGGAAACGAUGUGGGAAGGCCCAGACAGCCAGGAUGUUGGCUUAGAAGCAGCCAUCAUUUAAAGAAAGCGUAAUAGCUCACUGGUCGAGUCGGCCUGCGCGGAAGAUGUAACGGGGCUAAACCAUGCACCGAAGCUGCGGCAGCGACCACUAUGUGUUGUUGGGUAGGGGAGCGUUCUGUAAGCCUGUGAAGGUGUGCUGUGAGGUAUGCUGGAGGUAUCAGAAGUGCGAAUGCUGACAUAAGUAACGAUAAAGCGGGUGAAAAGCCCGCUCGCCGGAAGACCAAGGGUUCCUGUCCAACGUUAAUCGGGGCAGGGUGAGUCGACCCCUAAGGCGAGGCCGAAAGGCGUAGUCGAUGGGAAACAGGUUAAUAUUCCUGUACUUGGUGUUACUGCGAAGGGGGGGACGGAGAAGGCUAUGUUGGCCGGGCGACGGUUGUCCCGGUUUAAGCGUGUAGGCUGGUUUUCCAGGCAAAUCCGGAAAACUAAGGCUGAGGCGUGAUGACGAGGCACUACGGUGCUGAAGCAACAAAUGCCCUGCUUCCAGGAAAAGCCUCUAAGCAUCAGGUAACAUCAAAUCGUACCCCAAACCGACACAGGUGGUCAGGUAGAGAAUACCAAGGCGCUUGAGAGAACUCGGGUGAAGGAACUAGGCAAAAUGGUGCCGUAACUUCGGGAGAAGGCACGCUGAUAUGUAGGUGAAGCGACUUGCUCGUGGAGCUGAAAUCAGUCGAAGAUACCAGCUGGCUGCAACUGUUUAUUAAAAACACAGCACUGUGCAAACACGAAAGUGGACGUAUACGGUGUGACGCCUGCCCGGUGCCGGAAGGUUAAUUGAUGGGGUUAGCGGUAACGCGAAGCUCUUGAUCGAAGCCCCGGUAAACGGCGGCCGUAACUAUAACGGUCCUAAGGUAGCGAAAUUCCUUGUCGGGUAAGUUCCGACCUGCACGAAUGGCGUAAUGAUGGCCAGGCUGUCUCCACCCGAGACUCAGUGAAAUUGAACUCGCUGUGAAGAUGCAGUGUACCCGCGGCAAGACGGAAAGACCCCGUGAACCUUUACUAUAGCUUGACACUGAACAUUGAGCCUUGAUGUGUAGGAUAGGUGGGAGGCUUUGAAGUGUGGACGCCAGUCUGCAUGGAGCCGACCUUGAAAUACCACCCUUUAAUGUUUGAUGUUCUAACGUUGACCCGUGAUCCGGGUUGCGGACAGUGUCUGGUGGGUAGUUUGACUGGGCGGUCUCCUCCUAAAGAGUAACGGAGGAGCACGAAGGUUGGCUAAUCCUGGUCGGACAUCAGGAGGUUAGUGCAAUGGCAUAAGCCAGCUUGACUGCGAGCGUGACGGCGCGAGCAGGUGCGAAAGCAGGUCAUAGUGAUCCGGUGGUUCUGAAUGGAAGGGCCAUCGCUCAACGGAUAAAAGGUACUCCGGGGAUAACAGGCUGAUACCGCCCAAGAGUUCAUAUCGACGGCGGUGUUUGGCACCUCGAUGUCGGCUCAUCACAUCCUGGGGCUGAAGUAGGUCCCAAGGGUAUGGCUGUUCGCCAUUUAAAGUGGUACGCGAGCUGGGUUUAGAACGUCGUGAGACAGUUCGGUCCCUAUCUGCCGUGGGCGCUGGAGAACUGAGGGGGGCUGCUCCUAGUACGAGAGGACCGGAGUGGACGCAUCACUGGUGUUCGGGUUGUCAUGCCAAUGGCACUGCCCGGUAGCUAAAUGCGGAAGAGAUAAGUGCUGAAAGCAUCUAAGCACGAAACUUGCCCCGAGAUGAGUUCUCCCUGACUCCUUGAGAGUCCUGAAGGAACGUUGAAGACGACGACGUUGAUAGGCCGGGUGUGUAAGCGCAGCGAUGCGUUGAGCUAACCGGUACUAAUGAACCGUGAGGCUUAACCUU